rnacentral:rRNA from 1 species
UACGUAGGGUGCGAGCGUUGUCCGGAAUUAUUGGGCGUAAAGGGCUCGUAGGCGGUCUGUCGCGUCGAAAGUGAAAACUCAGGGCUUAACCCUGAGCCUGCUUCCGAUACGGGCAGACUAGAGGUAUGCAGGGGAGAACGGAAUUCCUGGUGUAGCGGUGAAAUGCGCAGAUAUCAGGAGGAACACCGGUGGCGAAGGCGGUUCUCUGGGCAUUACCUGACGCUGAGGAGCGAAGGCUAGGGGAGCGAACGGG